AAGCUAUAUUCAAACAUAACUGGCUAUAUUUUUUUCGGGGGAAAAUUAUUUCAUUACAUAGUCGUUAAAUCUUCUUGAUUAUCUUGCUUUCGUAUAUUUAAAGAACAUAGAUUAGUUUUUUAAAAAGGUGGUUUUGUAUAUGAAUUAUCAGCGCAUUCUUUUUUUUUAAUUUGUAGUCAUUACUUUUCUUGACAGUUAAUGAAUUUAAAAAAGGAAAUUUUUAUAGCAAAAUCAAACGGUAGUUUUGCACUUUAGAAAAAAAAAAUAUAUAAAGUCUUGUGCAGCUGUCAAUCCAAUAGAUUUGUCUUGUGCUUGCCUUAUUAUUUGAUUUAAUAAGAUUAAAUUGCGUGCAUUUUGAAAAAAACAUGAAGCUCAUCGGUUAUUUUUUUUUAUCAGAAUCAAUUUUUUAUUUGUUAUAUUUGAUAAUUGUGUAUUAUUUAUUUUAUUUUCAAGUUCUAUUUAUUUGGUCUCAGAUUAGAACUAUAAGAUGUUAAAAACAUAGUAUUAAAAUGUAUCUGUAAUUUGAUAUGAAUGUUAUUUUUCUAUAUAGCUGUAAAUAAAUAAACCGUCAUUAAAAGUU
rnacentral:misc_RNA from 1 species